UAUAUUUAUAUUCAAUCUGAAAAAUCGGUUAUACUAUUUUUUUUGACUUUUUUAUUCAUGAAACGUUAAUUGAGCUGAAAUAGCUCAGCUAUGUUAACCUAGCACUCUCUGAGCGAGAUUUAUGUUAUUAACAUAACAGACUUGUUAACAUUGGAAAACGGAGCUAACUUUCACACGCAUUUUGACAUUAACUCUCUCUGAUUUACAUGCAAAAAUUUUAUUGAAUUCUAUAAAUUUAUUCUCAAUGCUUAUAUAGUCUUUUCAAUAUCUGCUUUUUUAAGACUUCAACAUUGUUCUAAACAGAGUUAUUAUCACGAAUUAAUGAAAUACUUUCCUCAUUGUUUACCACAGAAUUAAAUUUAUUCUAAUGGGUCAUUAAGAUUUCAAUCAAAUAAAAUAUAAUAGUUAAUUUGGAAAAUGUUCAUUUCGAAAAAUGCGUUUAAGGACAGUUAAAACACAAAAUGCUUAUAAUGAUUGCUUCACAAUACUGAAGUAAAAACAUAAUAAAAACUUAAAAAUAGAAAAAUUGUGCUUCUGUUUGUACUAUAGAGUAUAAAAUGCAAAAAUUUUGCCCUUCGUAUCAUUGGCCAUUCGUAAUAAAGAGCAUUCAUGCUACUGAACAUCUACUGUUUUUGUAAAAUUAUUCAAAAUUAUAAAUGGUUCCAAAAACGUUGGUAAAAAGGUUUUUGGAAAUUUUGACUCGAUUUUGGCACUUUUUGGUCAUUGUCAAUAUGCACUUUUUAAACUUUCUAUAACAUUUAGUUAUAGUGCCUAUAACAUUUACAUGUAGUGCCCAGAUUUAAACCUUUUCACAUCGAAAGUGGCUGGAAAUACUUCUGCAGGAAGUUUGUUCCACAUACGAACAACGGCUGAAGAAUGACCACAAAUGUGUGUCAUUGAAUACAGUCGUGUGCUACGUAAAAAUAUACGGGUAUCGGGAACGAGUUCCCUAAUUUCAGAGGAACACAUUUUAUUAUAGUAUCGAUAGAACAGUGAAAUACACCCCGGCACAUAAUGGGAGUUGUAUUCCAUUUUCGGUCGGACAUAAGUGGUGUAUAUAGUAAGAAGAUCAGGUGGAGUGAAGUAUGUCUUACACCGUUUCGAAAAACCAAAACACUGGAAUGCUUUUUUCGACAGCUGGAAAAUGUGUUUAGUUCAUUGCAUGCCCAAAACAUCAAGUGUUUCUGAUUCUUUAAUAUUUACACCACCCAUAAAUAUAGAUGGACUAACAUUAUCUGGAGGUCGUUAAGUAAAUUGUUGGUCUCUAGAUAUUUUAUAAUAUGGAAAUUAACCAUACUUUCUGUAACUUUGGAAAGUGCAGAACAAAUUGCAACUGGGCGAUAAUUUUCAAGGUUAUUUGCCUCUUCCUUUUAAGGAAUUUGCGUGACAUUAGCAAUCUUCCAGCAUGUAGGAAAUUUUCCGGCAUGGUACAGGAUGCGGAAAAGCUAAUGGACGAGCUAGCGUCGAUGAGCACUGCCUCAAGACCAGUACCGGUAUGCCAUCAGGUAAAUGCGACUUAUUUAUGCUGAGAUUCGCUUAAAACCCUUUUUACGGCACGCACUCGAAAGAACAUAUUAGGCAUAGUUACUGAUACCCUUUCGAGCUCGGGCAGUGGUUGAUCGCUUUCAGAUCUAGCCGUCCAUCAUCUAUUGAAAACACACAAUGGGCAAUAUCUACGAUUUAACCUAGCAACAUAUAAAGUUCCCUUCAGAAAAUUACUAUAACGCAGAUAACUGGCUUAUAAAAGCGCGGAUGACAAUAAAAUUAUAAAUGUAUAAAUAUUAUGAGGACCGGCCAAUAACACUAUGCAACAAAUUGAGGGUUAUGGUCUAGGGGGUGAAAAAUUCUCAUGAUAACUUAAAGUACUAGAUUAGAAUAUUAAAGCCAAACCCUUCGGCGUUGGUAGGUUAAACUUUUAUAUUAUCAGUCAUUGAAAGUUGCGCUUUUAACACGUAAGUUUAUUAAAACUUUACAAAUACUUUCAGAAUUCACUUUAAAAACAUAUUUUUUGUGUUUUCUUUUAUAUUCGCGUUUUUGUCUAUUCUUCUACAGUCUCAAAAUUUAUGUUAAAAAUAUUCAAUAUAUGUAUCAAACUUUUACAUUUGUCAUUGACAUUUCUAAAACAUGCAAUUACUUAUUUUCAAAUUAAAAUAUUUUCCCCCACCUUUUUAUACCGAAUGUCUAAAAAAAUCUUAAAUUUUUUUUUUUUUUUUAAAUAUUAUAGUUUAAAGUUUUCAUGUUUUAAUUAUUUAAAUAGCGAAAAAUGCUUCGGGGGUUUGAAUACACUAAUGGCAUACCUUCAUUUUGUGAAGGAAUUUUUCGCCCCCCAAAAAUAGUGUUGUAUAGUGUAAUCAAUAUAAAGAUCUCAUCAUAAAGAGACUUUAACGUACAUAACUCGCUUCAAAAUACCAGUAUAGCAACUAAAUUUUAUAUAAACAGGUUUUUUAUGCAAGCACAAUACACGAUGCGACCUUUGUUAACAACCAAGUUACGUAUAUUGCACACAAAUGGUCCAGUUUUUAAAAAAAUUUCUUAAUAUAACUUUAUUUUGUAAAACAAAGUUUUUAAUCAAGGUGGUAACGUGUAUUGCAAAAUUUUUCUUUUUUAUAUAAUAAAUAAAAAUUUUAAUAGUAAAACUAUUAAAAUUUAUUUUUUAUUAUUUUUUAUUGUUUUUAUUACAUGCUCUGCGGUCUCCACAAAAUGAAGAGUAAAAUAGAAUAAUGUUGUACUGCAAGCAUUUUUAUGUUGCGACCCGUUUGUAGAACUUGGAAAAAUAUCAAAACAUUUUGAUGUUUCUUACAUUCAACUCAUAACUUCUUGAAGGAAUCCUACACACUUUGCAAUUUCGUAACAAACCUUCCAAAUUGUAUCAAAUGAUUGUAUGCCUUGCAUUAGGAACUAUCUGUUUCACUUACUGCAAGCAUUUACAAUUCAUAGAAUCACUUCUAAAACACUUUUAAUAUUGCAAAAUAUAUUUUUUUAUAAAUUGAAA